AUUGAACGCUGGCGGCAUGCCUUACACAUGCAAGUCGAACGGCAGCACGGGAGCAAUCCUGGUGGCGAGUGGCGAACGGGUGAGUAAUAUAUCGGAACGUGCCCAGUGAUGGGGGAUAGCCCGGCGAAAGCCGGAUUAAUACCGCAUACGACCUACGGGUGAAAGCAGGGGAUCGCAAGACCUUGCGUCAUUGGAGCGGCCGAUAUCAGAUUAGCUUGNGGUGGGGUAAAAGCCUACCAAGGCGACGAUCUGUAGCUGGUCUGAGAGGACGACCAGCCACACUGGGACUGAGACACGGCCCAGACCCCUACGGGAGGCAGCAGUGGGGAA
rnacentral:rRNA from 1 species